rnacentral:rRNA from 1 species
AGCAGCCGCGGUAAAUUCCAGCUCCAAUAGCGUAUAUUAAAGUUGUUGCAGUUAAAAAGCUCGUAGUUGAAUUUCGGGAUUUUACCGUUGGUCGGGCUAUCCAGUCUGUACUAGCGUGUAGAAUUUCUACCUUCUGGGGAACCCAUCAUGUUAUUAAUUUAGCGUGGUGGGAAACCAGGACCUUUACCUUGAAAAAAUUGAGUGUUCAAAGCAGGCUUAACGUCUGAAUACAUUAGCAUGGAAUAAUAAAAUAGGACGGUGGUCCUGUUUUGUUGGUUUCUGAAUCACCGUAAUGAUUAAUA